GGGGAUUUAGCUCAGUGGCAGUGUGUCUGCCUCACAAGCACAAGUCAUGAGUUCAAUCCCCA
rnacentral:tRNA from 1 species